rnacentral:rRNA from 1 species
AUGUUAUCCUCUACAAAUCUGGCUGUAAAGUUCUAUUUAUUAUCUUCGUUGUUGCAACCUGCUAAUUUAUUUCGUGAUUUCUUACUCAAACAGGUGUUCAUCCACUGCUAUAUUCAUUGGUUAUUUCUACAUCCAUUCCAGAAACACUUUCGAUUGCUCGUCUAUCGAUUUUCAGCUUUCUUAUUCAUCACUGUGUCUAGAAGCAAUUCUGGUUCUAUCUUCAGUUUAUUCAACCCAAAAAGUAAACCCUGCAACCCAAUGGAAGUGGCGUUAGCUAGCGCUGCCUUAAGCGUUAGCUUGAAAUUGGCUGCAUCACCUGUCUUGAAGAAGCUCCUUGCUGAUGCUUCAACCUACCUCGACGUGCACAUGGCCCAUGAGCUCCACGAACUGGAGACAAUUAUCUUGCCACAGUUCGAGUUGUUGAUUGAAGCAGCAGACAAGGGAAACCACAGGCCCAAGUUGGACAAAUGGCUUCAGGAACUCAAAGAAGGCUUCUACCUGGCUGAAGACUUGUUGGACGAGCAUGAGUACAACCUCCUCAAGCGCAAAGCAAAGGGGAAGGAUUCCAUGCCGGCCACCAUCAACAAAGCUUUUAUGAAGCCUCUGCAUUCUGUAACAAGCAGGUUGUCCAAUCUGAGCUCUGAGAACAGAAAGCUAAUUUGCCAUCUGAAGGAGCUGAAGGCUACCCUUGGGAAAGCCAAGGACUUCCAUCAAUUGCUAUCCUUACCAGCUGGUUGUGGUUAUAAUGGAGAGAGCCCCGCCAAAACAUCAGCUGCUGUUCCCGAGACCACAUCAAUACCACCUCUGAGAGUGAUUGGCCGUGAUAAGGACCGUGAUCACAUAAUAGAUCGACUUACCAAGACAACUGCUUCUACCGAGUCUAGUAUAUCUAUGUACUCAGGUUUGGCCAUUGUAGGAGCAGGAGGCAUGGGGAAGUCCACCUUAGCACAACAUGUUUUCAAUGACAAGAGGAUAAAAGAAUAUUUUGAUGUAACAAUGUGGGUAAGUAUCUCACGCAAACUUGAUGUCCGUCAUCAUACACGGGAGAUCAUUGAGUCUGCCUCUCAGGGGGAAUGCCCACACAUUGAUAACCUUGAUACAUUGCAACGUAAGUUGUUUGACAUACUGCAAGAAUCAGGGAAAUUCCUGCUUGUGUUGGAUGAUGUUUGGUUUGAACCUGGCAGCGAGAGGGAAUGGGAGAAUCUGUUAGCUCCUCUACUCUCCCAACAGAAGGGAAGCAAAGUUUUGGUGACUUCUCGACGGGAUACAUUUCCAGCUGCUCUUUACUGUGUAGAAGUGUGUCCUCUAGAAAACAUGGAAGAUGCAUAUUUCUUGGCACUCUUCAAACACCAUGCUUUCUCUGGACCAGAAAUUGGAAAUCUGCAGUUGCGUGGAAGGCUGGAAGAUUUUGCUGAGAAGAUUGCUAAAAGGCUUGGACAAUCUCCUUUGGCGGCCAAAGUUGUGGGUUCCCAGUUGAAAGGGAUAACAAACAUAUCUACAUGGAAGGAUGCUCUAACUUUGAUGAUUGACAAAUCAAGUGAGCCUAUGACAGCACUGUUGUGGAGUUAUGAGAAGUUAGAUCCUUGUGUGCAGAGGUGCUUCCUAUAUUGCAGCUUGUUCCCGAAAGGCCACAAGUAUGUCAUCAAUGAGUUGGUUCAUCUUUGGAUGGCAGAGGGCCUCAUUGAUUCGUGCAACCAAAAGAAGAGAGUGGAAGAUAUUGGGAGGGAUUGCUUCAAGGAGAUGAUCUCUGUUUCGUUCUUUCAAAUGGUUGAUAAGAAAUUCGGUUGCACAUACUAUGUUAUGCAUGAUCUCCUUCAUGAUCUGGCAGAAUCACUCUCCACGGAGGACUACUUCAGGUUGGAAGAUGAUAAGGUGACAGAAAUACCAACCACAGUUCGACAUAUAUCCGUCCGUGUUGAUAGUAUGAUGCAACACAAGCAAAGUAUAUGCAUGCUACAUCAUUUACGCACUAUUAUCUGCAUAGACCCCCUAAUGGAUGAUGUAAGUGACAUUUUUAAUCAGAUAAUACGGAAUUUGAAGAAGUUGCGCGUCCUAUAUCUGUCAUCUUACACCAGUAGUAAGUUGCCAGAAUCUGUUGGUGAGUUGAAGCACCUUCGAUAUUUAAACAUCAUAAGAACACUGAUUUCCGAAUUUCCAAGAUCUUUGUGUACUCUUUACCACUUGCAGCUACUUCUGGUAAAUGAUAUAGUUGAGAGUUUCCCUGAGAAACUCUGCAAUUUAAGGAAGUUACGACAUCUUGACUCGAAUGAUUACCGAACAAACGAGCGGAAAGCACCGCCUCAAAUUCCUCACAUUGGCAAGCUAACUUCACUUCAACAAGUUCAGAAAUUUUCUGUGCAAAAGAAAAUGGGAUAUGAAUUGCUACAGCUGAGGGAUAUGAAUGAGAUCUGUGGCAGUUUAAGUGUCACAAAUCUUGAGAAUGUCACUGGGAAAGAUGAAGCAUUAGAAUCGAAGUUGCAUCAAAAAAGUCAUCUUGGUAGCUUGCGACUUGAAUGGUGUUGCCAGAAUAACACCAAUGCAGAGGAUAGUUUACAUUUGGAGAUUUUGGAAGGCCUGAUGCCCCCGCCUCAACUUGAGAAUCUUACAAUUGACGGUUACAAUUCUUCAAAAUAUCCAGGUUGGUUACUUGAUGGUUCGUAUUUUGAGAAUUUAGAAUCUUUGAGGUUUGAAAAUUGCAGCGCAUUACAAGGCCUACCAUCCAACACUGAGCUAUUUGAGAAUUGCUCUUCACUUACCCUCUUCAAUGUGCCAAACCUGAAGACAUUACCUUGUCUUCCACUGGGCCUUACAUGGUUAGGAAUAUCCAACUGCCCACUGCUUAUAUUUGUUUCCAAUGAUGAGCUGGAACAUCGAGAACAGAGCGAGAAUAUCAUGCGUAUAGACCACUUGGCGUCACAACUUGGUUUACUCUGGGAGGUGGAUUCAGGAUCAGAUAUUAGGAGAAUACUCUCAUCGGAACAUUCAUUUCUGAAGCAGCUGAUGAUAUUGAUGCAUGCUGAUGUCUCACGUGUUCAUGACCUUGGAAGUGUCCUUGGAAGAAGGAAAAAGAAAGUGGUUAAAGAGGAUAUCAUCAACGCAUGGAUAAACUGUCACAAGCAGAUGAUGAGUCUCGUGCAUGGAAGGAGCAUUAGGCUGCCACUGGUUCCACCAUCGGGGCUUCGUGGGCUUUCUCUUUCUUCAUGCAGUAUUACAGAUGAAGCUCUAGCUGUUUGCCUUGAUGGCCUCACUUCACUGAAUAGUUUGUUCUUACAAAAAAUUAUGACUUUAACCACACUUCCUUCAGAAGAGGUCCUCCAACAUUUGACAAAACUUCGCCGCUUGAACAUCAUAAGUUGCUGGUGUCUCAGGUCAUUAGGGGGUUUACGAGCUGCUACCUCUCUUUCAGAUGUUAACUUGAAUUCAUGCCCUUCUUUAGAGUUGGCAAAUGGAGCAGAAUGUUUACCGUUAUCUCUUGAGAGGCUCAGUAUAUGGUAUUGCGUGCUUGCAGCUGACUUCUUCUGUGCUGACUGGCCACACAUGAAUGGUAUUUCCAUAUACAAUUGCAGAAGCAGCGCAUGCUUAUCUGUUGGUAGUCUCACAUCUGUUGAAUCAUUCACACUAUAUCAUUUGCCAGAUUUAUGUACGCUCGAAGGAUUGUCUUCCCUCCAACUUCACCACGUACAUUUGAUUGAUGUUCCGAAACUCACGCCUGAGUGUGUCUCGCAGUUUCGAGUCCAGAAGUCACUCUAUGUUAGCAGUCCUGUAAUACUCAACAAUGUGCUCUCGUCUGAAGGUUCCAUCGUUCCAGAAUUUCUCUCUCUUGAAGGAUGCAAGGAACCAUUUGUUUCAUUGGAAGAAUCUGCAAAUUUCACAUUAGUCAAGACCCUGAGAUUCUGUGGUUGUCGGAUGAUUUCCCUGCCAACAAAUCUGAAGUCCUUCUCCAAUCUGAAGAGGCUCGAUAUUUAUAGCUGCCCCAGCAUAUCAUCUUUACCAGAUUUGCCAUCCUCCCUCCAGCACAUAAGUGUAUGGUAUUGUAGUGAGCUCUUGAAGGAGAACUGCCGAGCACCUGAUGGAGAAAGUUGGCCAAAGAUCGCGCAUAUCCGCUGGAAGGAAUUUAGAGAUAAACUGAUUUAG